CCUCGCGGGCCCGGCAGUCACUGCUGUCCCCACUCGGGCCUGAACACCCGCGCCCCCGUCAUCCCAUCACCCGGUCGUCCAGCUCGGCAGACACUCACGCUCUGCUAGCAUCGACAUUGUCUCAAGUUUGUCGAACGCUGCCUCUGGCCUGACGCCCAGCGGUUAUGAGGAACCUGAAGCGCGGUUAAGGAAGAAGCCGGCUCGGAAAGCACGCCGGGUGGAGAGCUUCGCUGGGGCGCGUACUACUGACGUCACCACGCGCGACUCGCUACCAACUGCAUGAAGCGGAGGGGCGGACCCGCCUUGGGGGACUGAGGCACAGAUUCUUUCUAGGGCUGGGGCAGAGCUGGUUCGUGCGCAGUUCGCAGUUUAACUCUGAAAGCGGGUGUGCAAGCAACCUUAGAGUUGUCCGGGGUUCUGUGAACCAUGGGUACAUUUAAAGAGCUGGAGAGACGGCCGAAGAGGAAGAUCUUUACAGGACAAGGCAGAUUCACCAAAGAGUAGAAUUCCUGAUGACUUUUAUCGUCAGUACAUGUCACAAGAAAACAUUUAAAACGACACCAAAACAAUCUUUGAAAUCGCCACUUCUCUACAUGGUCUGCACUUACAGUAGAUACAUUCAUUAUUGUCCAAGGGAAGACAGCCACUGCCUUUCACUUAAAGAGCUUGGUGGAGAGGCUGAAGGAAUGGAUGCGCUACAGCCGAAGGUGAGUAGAAUGUUCCAGAGAACAGAAAAGUCUACAUGGUCUUCAGGAACAGCACUGAGCAUGAUGG
rnacentral:lncRNA from 1 species